UACGGAGGGUGCGAGCGUUGUCCGGAAUCACUGGGCGUAAAGGGCGCGUAGGCGGCGCGGGAAGUCAUCGGUGAAAGUUCAGGGCUCAACUCUGAAUCGGCCGGUGAUACUCUCGUGCUUGAGCACUGUAGAGGCAGGUGGAAUUCCGGGUGUAGCGGUGAAAUGCGUAGAUAUCGGAAGGAACAUCAGUGGCGAAAGCGACUUCCUGGACCAAUACUGACACUCAAGUGCGAAAGCGUGGGGAGCAAACAGGA
rnacentral:rRNA from 1 species